UACGGAAGGGGGCUAGUCGUUGCUCGGAAUCAGUACGUGGGCGUAAAGCGGCACGUAGGCGGACUCUUCAAGUCGGUGGUGGAAAUCCUGGAGCUCAACUCCAGAACUGCCUUCGAUACUGAGAGUCUUGAGUCCGGGAGAGGUGAGUGGAACUGCGAGUGUAGAGGUGAAAUUCGUAGAUAUUCGCAAGAACACCAGUGGCGAAGGCGGCUCACUGGCCCGGUACUGACGCUGAGGUGGCGAAAGCGUGGGGAGCAAACAGG
rnacentral:rRNA from 1 species